AGGGAUGUAGCUCAGUGGUAGAGUGCGUGCCUGGCACGCACAAGGCUCGGGGUUCAAUUCCCAGCAAUACAA
rnacentral:tRNA from 1 species